CAAUUAUUUUUUAAAAGACACUCCAACCACAUUAAAAUAUCAGCGUCUCAAAUUAAUAUUCAUUAUGAGCAAUUUGUGUUUCAUCUGUUUUUCAGCCAGUCCAUCCAUCCAUCCAUUUUCUAAAGAUGCCUUAUACCUACUUGGGAUGCUAUCAGGCACAAAUUGGAUCAUCCUUACAUUCAAUUCUCAAAGAUGUCUUAUACCUUCCUGGAAUGCUGUCAACUAUCCCAGACACAUUUGCCUGAAGCCUAGACAUACUCUGGAUCCUUCACCUUGUGUCCAGCGUCAACUGUUGACCAUAAUUCAAAUCCCAAAACUUUACAUUUGGGAUGGAAAAUUGCUCUAUCAUCACACUCCAGCUCUCAAUCCAGCAUGUCACAGAAGAUGACUGCAACCUAUCAGCAGUACCAUUAUCGCUGAGAAAAUGAAUCUACAGCAGUCAUCAGGUAUCACUAUGAUUCACAUUUUUUAAAUAGACUUCAACCCCAUGACUAAUCUAAUAAAAUAUAUAACCACAACGUCUCCUACAAAAUCCUACUUUACAACUAUGUGUGUACUUCCUGUGUCUAGGACUACAACAUGUCCUGAAAGAACUACUGGCCACUGCUCCAAGACUGCCAG
rnacentral:lncRNA from 1 species